rnacentral:rRNA from 1 species
AUGUUCUGUUCUAGUUCAUAUGUUCAGAUGCUAUUUGCCUUCACUCUGCUAAAUUACAUGACAUGUUUCAUCUGUACUACACAAGUCAUGUUUUAUCUAGUAUUUCUGUUAGCAAAAGCGUAUGGUAAAUUGCUCAUAUUUCCAACAAUCCAAAAACCUUAUUAUAGGCAAUUUACCCCGAGUGAAUUUGCUGCUUCCAUGAGACCUCCUAUGUUUGAGGGUAUCCAUUAUAAGAGGUGGCGCUUGAUAGCAGUCUUAUGGUUUCAAACCAUGAGUUGCUAUGACGCCACUCUUGGCAAAUCUGAAGGAGAUUAUGAUGCUCAGCAGGAACAAGCUUUUCAAAAAAUGGAUACCCUGUUUAAGGCUUUUCUCUUGAGUGUUCUUGUUGAGAACAUAGUUGAUGCUUAUGCGUCAAUUGAUAAUGGAAAAAACAUGUGGGAUGCACUCGAGGCCAGGUUUGGGGUCUCGGAUGCCGGCACUGAGCUGUACAUCAUGGAACAAUUCUAUGACUACAUGAUGACUAAAGAGCGCUCCGUGGUUGAGCAAGCUCACGAGAUACAGUCAUUUGCUAGAGAACUUGAGCACUUCAAUUGUAUGCUACCGGACAAGUUUGUUGCUGGAGGCAUCAUCAUUAAGUUUACUCCUUCGUGGAGGAACUUUGCUACCUUACUGAAGCAUAAGAGGCAGGAGUUUUUCGUUCUGGAUCUCAUUGGUACUCUUGACGUGGAAGAAAAGGCGAGAGCAAAAGACACACGUGCUCGAGGUAUUGAGGGAGGAUCUAGUGCCAAUCUGGUACAGAAGAAAAACUUUCAGUUCCACAAGUUCAGGAACAAGGGCAAGUUUGAUGGUAAAGCAAAGUUUGAUGGGAAGAACAAGGUUGUACAACACACCAACUUUAAGAAGAAGAAAGGUGUUUGUCAUGUGUGCGGAGAUCCUGAUCAUUGGGCUCCUAGUUGCCCUAAUUGUUAUGACAAGGAUCAUCUUGGGAAAGGCGGAAAUACCGCUAAUGUGUUCAUUGGUGACAUUGACAUGAAAGAUGUUGGACCGCAGGGACUUCAACCGUGCUGA